GGGAAAAACGGCAGACCAGGGCUGCAUUUGGUGGGGGUGUGAGUGCCAUGCUGUAGGCUGUAGGACAGUCGGGACAGUGCAAGGUGUUGCUACUGCUAGGUGUGGUUUGGAUUACAGAGAGGGAAGAGCAUGCAUAGUGAUAAUGGUGGAGGCCGCAGGCCGUUGGAGGCAGCUUAGAAAUCUCUUACAUCUGGAACAGCCGUAAUUCGUGGGAUUUGGCCUGACAGCCAUGACAGUCAUCGGGGCGGCCGACAACAACUGUCUCCUGUGUUAGCGGCAGCCGUGCGUAUGCGUGUGUAUAAAGCAUGAACUGAAGUGGAUGAAAUUAUCUUUGGAAAAUCUUUAUUGUGUAAAUGUGUUGCUUUUUUUCCCCUCUUUCAUUCUAAGGAUUGUUAUGCUGUAAAACUGCUAAGUUCAGACACGGUACACAAAUACAUGCAUCUUACUAGGCUACUGCUUCCUUUUCAUGAGAAGAUGUUGAACACUCAUGCAGCCCAUAAGCUACUCAUACAGACAAAAAACACACAUGUACACGCCGUCUCCACUGAUGUUGAACUCAUGUUCCACCUCUCUUUCUUUCUCUCUGGAUGAGGGAAGUGAAAUGGGCAUUUACAAGACAUAUUUUCCUUUUAUAUAAAUAUCCGUGAGUGUAUUAAAGCAAAUGUGUGAAAUAUUCAUAAACUGAGCCAUAUGUAAUGAGUAUCUGCCUUUAAUGGCUGACCGUAUCACUGGGGGUAGAUUUAAUAUCUUAACACAGCCACCAUCCGGGGCACGAGGUCUUUGGGGGGAAAGUUAUUUUGAAUCAAGCUUUAGAUGAAUGCACAGCAUCAUGCGGAUCUGUUCAGAAUCCAAGAAAGGAUGUUAAAAGAGAAGGAUUAAAAUGUUAAAAAAAUAAAAGUGUGGCAUUUUAUAAAUACGUACAUAAAUACUUUCAAAUACAUUUUAUUAUUUUACACAUGCUAUUAGUGAUUUGUGCAUUUUUGGCCAUAAGGUUUCCUGAAUAAGAGUUAGUGCAUUGGUUUAAAAUAAAAAAAAAAAAUAUAUGACAAAAAUAGCUGAACAUGCCUGAGUUUGCCAAUGGGCGGCAGCAGGGGAAACAUUAAUAGUAUUGUUCAGACAAUCAGAGGGAUAAAUAGGGGGUGGGGACUGAGUAGUACAUGUAUGGUUCAUAACAAUAGGAACAUUUAAAUGGCUAAACAGAUGAGGGACCACCUGAUUUGCAAUAUACCAGAUUGGUAUGUAGCAAGUCGUUUGUUUGUUAAAAUUUGUAAGUUUUGACCCAAGUGUUAACUUAAUUAGAGAUAUAUUAAAUGAUUUUUCAGGUCAAUAUACAGCACUCGGUGCGCAUGGAUGCUCCGUGCGGGCUGCCCUUCUUAAAA